AUACAGAGGGUGCGAGCGUUAAUGGGAAUUACUGGGCGUAAAGCGCGCGUAGGCGGUUAUUUAAGUCAGAUGUGAAAUCCCUGGGCUCAACCUAGGAACUGCAUCUGAAACUGGGUAACUAGAGUUUAGGAGAGGGGAGUAGAAUUUCGGGUGUAGCGGUGAAAUGCAUAGAGAUCCGAAGGAAUACCAGUGGCGAAGGCGACUCCCUGGCCUAGAACUGACGCUGAGGUGCGAAAGCGUGGGUAGCAAACGGGAUUAGAAACCCUAGUAGUCC
rnacentral:rRNA from 1 species